CUGCUUCCAUGUCCUUAAGGUGACAAAGCACAUGAGGACUUUGCAAGUACUUGGAGUGAAGGAAGAGAAGAGAAUUCACAGAGUGAAAAGAGGAGAAAGAGUGCUCUAAAAUAUCACCAAUGGACUGCAACAUGAAAAAGCCUGGAGAAAGUUUAACUCAUCUAAGAGGCUGUUUAGUGAAUCAACAAAAGAUGCCAUUUUCUAUUAAGUCAUCUAUUUUAUUAAAGAGUUAAAUGCAACUGUUGCUGUAUAUCAUAAAUUUAUGAAAGAUUUAGGAGUGGGAGUUC
rnacentral:lncRNA from 1 species